GGAAUUGUUCGCAAUGGGCGCAAGCCUGACGACGCAACGCCGCGUGGAGGAUGAAGGUCUUCGGAUUGUAAACUCCUGUUGAUCGGGACGAAAAGCUCCAACCCAAUACGUUGGAGACGGACGGUACCGGUUGAGGAAGCCACGGAUAACUAUGUGCCAGCAGCCGCGGUAAUACCGAGGUGGAAAGCGUUGUUCGGAAUUACUGGGCGUAAAGGGCGCGUAGGCGGCCUCCUAAGUCGGACGUGAAAGCCCCAGGCUUAAUCUGGGAACUGCGUCCGAUACUGGGAGGCUUGGAUUCGGGAGAGGGAUGUGGAAUUCCAGGUGUAGCGGUGAAAUGCGUAGAUAUCUGGAGGAACACCGGUGGCGAAGGCGGCAUCCUGGACCGAGAUCGACGCUGAGGCGCGAAAGCUAGGGGAGCAAAC
rnacentral:rRNA from 1 species